UGCAAGUCGAGCGGAAACGAUGGAAGCUUGCUUCCAGGCGUCGAGCGGCGGACGGGUGAGUAAUGCAUAGGAAUCUGCCCGGUAGUGGGGGAUAACUCGGGGAAACUCGAGCUAAUACCGCAUACGUCCUACGGGAGAAAGUGGGCUUUUGCUCACGCUAUCGGAUGAGCCUAUGUCAGAUUAGCUAGUUGGUGGGGUAAAGGCUCACCAAGGCGACGAUCUGUAGCUGGUCUGAGAGGAUGAUCAGCCACACUGGGACUGAGACACGGCCCAGACUCCUACGGGAGGCAGCAGUGGGGAAUAUUGGACAAUGGGGGCAACCCUGAUCCAGCCAUGCCGCGUGUGUGAAGAAGGCUUUCGGGUUGUAAAGCACUUUCAGCGAGGAGGAAAGCGGUGUUGUUAAUACCAGCAUCGUGUGACGUUACUCGCAGAAGAAGCACCGGCAAACUCCGUGCCAGCAGCCGCGGUAAUACGGAGGGUGCGAGCGUUAAUCGGAAUUACUGGGCGUAAAGCGUGCGUAGGUGGUUAAGUAAGCCAGAUGUGAAAGCCCCGGGCUUAACCUGGGAACGGCAUCUGGAACUGCUUAACUAGAGUGCAGUAGAGGAAGGUAGAAUUCCACGUGUAGCGGUGAAAUGCGUAGAUAUGUGGAGGAAUACCAGUGGCGAAGGCGGCCUUCUGGACUGACACUGACACUGAGGUACGAAAGCGUGGGGAUCAAACAGGAUUAGAUACCCUGGUAGUCCACGCCGUAAACGAUGUCUACUAGCCGUUGGGCUCCUUGAGAGCUUAGUGGCGCAGCUAACGCAAUAAGUAGACCGCCUGGGGAGUACGGCCGCAAGGUUAAAACUCAAAUGAAUUGACGGGGGCCCGCACAAGCGGUGGAGCAUGUGGUUUAAUUCGAUGCAACGCGAAGAACCUUACCUACCCUUGACAUCCAGAGAAGUCGCUAGAGAUAGCUUCGUGCCUUCGGGAACUCUGUGACAGGUGCUGCAUGGCUGUCGUCAGCUCGUGUUGUGAAAUGUUGGGUUAAGUCCCGUAACGAGCGCAACCCCUAUCC
rnacentral:rRNA from 1 species